AGAGUUUGAUCAUGGCUCAGGAUGAGCGCUGGCGGCGUGCUUAACACAUGCAAGUCGAACGAACCUUCGGGUUAGUGGCGGACGGGUGAGUAACGCGUGGGAAUCUGCCCUCAGGAGGGGGAUAACGGCCGGAAACGGCCGCUAAUACCCCAUAUGCCGAGAGGUGAAAUGAAUUUCGCCUGAGGAUGAGCCCGCGUCUGAUUAGCUAGUUGGUGAGGUAAGAGCUCACCAAGGCAUCGAUCAGUAGCUGGUCUGAGAGGAUGAUCAGCCACACUGGGACUGAGACACGGCCCAGACUCCUACGGGAGGCAGCAGUGGGGAAUUUUCCGCAAUGGGCGAAAGCCUGACGGAGCAACGCCGCGUGAGGGAUGAAGGCCUCUGGGCUGUAAACCUCUUUUAUCAAGGAAGAAGAUCUGACGGUACUUGAUGAAUAAGCCACGGCUAAUUCCGUGCCAGCAGCCGCGGUAAUACGGGAGUGGCAAGCGUUAUCCGGAAUUAUUGGGCGUAAAGCGUCCGCAGGCGGCCCUACAAGUCUGCUGUUAAAAAGUGGAGCUUAACUCCAUCAUGGCAGUGGAAACUGUUGGGCUCGAGUGUGGUAGGGGCAGAGGGAAUUCCCGGUGUAGCGGUGAAAUGCGUAGAUAUCGGGAAGAACACCAGUGGCGAAAGGCGCUCUGCUGGGCCAUCACUGACGCUCAUGGACGAAAGCCAGGGGAGCGAAAGGGAUUAGAUACCCCUGUAGUCCUGGCGUAAACGAUGAACACUAGGUGUCGGGGGAAUCGACCCCUCCGGUGUCGUAGCCAACGCGUUAAGUGUUCCGCCUGGGGAGUACGCACGCAAGUGUGAAACUCAAAGGAAUUGACGGGGGCCCGCACAAGCGGUGGAGUAUGUGGUUUAAUUCGAUGCAACGCGAAGAACCUUACCAGGGUUUGACAUCCUGCGAAUCUCUUGGAAACUUGAGAGUGCCUUCGGGAACGCAGUGACAGGUGGUGCAUGGCUGUCGUCAGCUCGUGUCGUGAGAUGUUGGGUUAAGUCCCGCAACGAGCGCAACCCACGUCUUUAGUUGCCAGCAUUUAGUUGGGCACUCUAGAGAGACCGCCGGUGAUAAACCGGAGGAAGGUGUGGAUGACGUCAAGUCAUCAUGCCCCUUACAUCCUGGGCUACACACGUACUACAAUGCUACGGACAAAGGGCAGCAAGUUCGCGAGGACAAGCAAAUCCCAUAAACCGUAGCUCAGUUCAGAUCGUAGGCUGCAACUCGCCUACGUGAAGGAGGAAUCGCUAGUAAUCGCAGGUCAGCAUACUGCGGUGAAUACGUUCCCGGGCCUUGUACACACCGCCCGUCACACCAUGGAAGUUGGCCACGCCCGAAGCCGUUACUCCAACCCUUGUGGAGGAGGACGUCGAAGGUGGGGCUGAUGACUGGGGUGAAGUCGUAACAAGGUAACCGUA
rnacentral:rRNA from 1 species